rnacentral:rRNA from 1 species
GAUGAACGCUGGCGGCGUGCCUAAUACAUGCAAGUCGAGCGAACAGACGAGGAGCUUGCUCCUCUGACGUUAGCGGCGGACGGGUGAGUAACACGUGGAUAACCUACCUAUAAGACUGGGAUAACUUCGGGAAACCGGAGCUAAUACCGGAUAAUAUAUUGAACCGCAUGGUUCAAUAGUGAAAGACGGUUUUGCUGUCACUUAUAGAUGGAUCCGCGCCGCAUUAGCUAGUUGGUAAGGUAACGGCUUACCAAGGCAACGAUGCGUAGCCGACCUGAGAGGGUGAUCGGCCACACUGGAACUGAGACACGGUCCAGACUCCUACGGGAGGCAGCUGUAGGGAAUCUUCCGCAAUGGGCGAAAGCCUGACGGAGCAACGCCGCGGGAGUGAUGAAGGUCUUCGGAUCGUAAAACUCUGUUAUUAGGGAAGAACAAAUGUGUAAGUAACUAUGCACGUCUUGACGGUACCUAAUCAGAAAGCCACGGCUAACUACGU